UAUAUAUAUAUAUAUAGAAUUAGGCUGGAAUACUAUUAAUAGUAAAACGCUCUUUUUGCUAUCAAGUUUUUAAUCCUUGGAUGAAAAAUUGUAGGGCCGGGAUGAUAUUAGUAGGUUAGAGUUGAGUGGUCCCCCUAGAGUUGAGUGGUCCCUACUGGGUUAUAGUAUUUAAUCCAAUGGUUAGAAAUAAUGAAGAGGGUUGAUCCAAAGGCUAAAAAACUGGUAGCAACAAUGGAAUUUUGCUACUAAUAGUAGCCCAGUCCAACUCUCUCUCUCUCUAUAUAUAUAUAGAAUUAGGCUGGAAUACUAUUAGUAGUAAAAUGCACUUUUUGCUAUCAAGUUUUUAACCUUUGGAUGAAAAAUUGUAGGGUUAGGAUGAUAUUAGUCAGUUAGAGUUGAGUGGUCCCCCUAGGGUUGAGUGNUAUAUAUAUAUAUAUAUAUAUAUAUAUAUAUAUAGACCGGCUACUAUAUUAUUAUGAGUACGAUCGCCCUCGUACUCAUAAGUUGUUUUCGAUGAUAGAGCUUCCGAAUCAACAAUCCAUAUCGUUAAACGUUAUCUAGAGCAUUUGAAACAUCUAGAAAUCAAAUUUCAUAACUUUUUCAUAUCAUUUACCUUACGAUCAAAAGCUCACAAAAUUGACAAUUUUUAACGACCGGUAUGGAAUACUUGCUAGUUUAACGGUGCAAAAGAAUCCGAAUAGAUUGAAUUUUUGAUAGAAAAUUCUAUUCACUACCUAGAUAAAGAUCAAUAACUCCGAUCUUAAAUUGAAGGAUCCGAUCAUCCAUUUUUAAGACAUCGUUCGAUCUUGACUGUUCAUUUUAUGCCUGCUUGAUGGACUUUAUUAUGAUUUCAAAAAGUUACGAAAUUUUUUUUCUAGAAGUUUCAAAUACACUAAAUCAUAUUUAACAGAGUAGAUCGUCGAUUGGGAAGCUCCAUCAUCGAAAACAACUUAUGAGUAUGAAGGGCCCAAUACUCAUAAUAUUAUAGUAGCCCUACUCUAUAUAUAUAUAUAGAGUCCGGCUAUGAUGCUUGUAAAAGUACUACGCAUUUGGUGCUUGUAAAUUUUUUACCGUUAGAUCUAUCCUUUGAUUAUUUUUACCCGUUAGAUUAUACUAUUCAACCAGCCACCCACUCAACCCUAGGGGGCCCACAUCAUCCUAACCGCACAUCUGUUAAUCCAAGGGCCGAAAACUUACAAGCACCAAUGACUUGGUACUUUUAAAAGCAUAGGAGCUCAAUUCUAUAUAUAUAUAUAUAUAUAGAGUGGGCUAGUAUGCUUAUGGAAGCACGGAGCCCUCCGUGCUUCCAAGUUGUUUUCGAUGUUCGGAUUUUCGAAUCGACGAUCGGCUCCGUUAGAGUUGAUCUAGAGUAUUUGAAGUACCUAGAAAAUAAAUUUUGUGAUUUUUUGAUAUCAUUUGCCUAGUGAUCGAAGGGGCUCAAAAUCAAUAAUUUAAACGGCCGUGGUGAGCCGGUUGCAAGUUUAACGGUGUAGAAAUAUCCAAAUCACAUGAAAUUUUGAUAGAAAAUUCUUUAUACUAUAUAAAACAAGAUCAAUAACUUUGAUCUAAAAUUUUAUUGUCAUAUCAUCAUAUUUUGUAAGAUUUUUAUUUUCAGCCGUUGAUUUUGAGCCACUUCGAUCACUAGGCAAAUGAUAUCGAAAAAUCGCAAAAUUUAUUUUCUAGAUACUUCAAAUACUCUAGAUCAAGUCUAACG
rnacentral:lncRNA from 1 species